rnacentral:rRNA from 1 species
UUAGUAACUGCGAGUGAAGAGGGAAAAGCUCAAAUUUAAAAUCUGGCAGUGUUUCACUGUCCGAGUUGUAACCUAGAGAAGUGUAACCUGCACUGGACCGUGUAUAAGUCUCCUGGAAUGGAGCAUCACAGAGGGUGAGAAUCCCGUCUUUGACAUGGACCACCAGUGCAUUGUGGUUGUGCUCUCAACGAGUCGAGUUGUUUGGGAAUGCAGCUCUAAAUGGGUGGUAAAUUCCAUCUAAAGCUAAAUAUUGGCGAGAGACCGAUAGCGAACAAGUACCGUGAGGGAAAGAUGAAAAGAACUUUGGAAAGAGAGUUAAACAGUAUGUGAAAUUGUUGAAAGGGAAACGUUUGAAGUCAGUCGCGUUGGUUGGGGAUCAGCCUGACAUUGUUGGGUUUACUUCCUGGUCGACGGGCCAACAUCAGUUUUGACUGCCAGAAAAAGGCCAAAGGAAUGUGGCACCUUUGGGUGUGUUAUAGCCCUUGGUCGUAUAUGGUGGUUGGGACUGAGGAAAGCAGCGUGCCGAAAGGCCGGGUUUCGACCACGUUCACGCUGAGGAUGUUGGCAUAAUGGCUUUAAGCGACCCGUCUUGAAACACGGACCAAGGAGUCUAACAUGCAUGCGAGUGUUUGGGUGGAAAACCCUUACGCGUAAUGAAAGUGAAAGUUGAGAUCCCUGUCGCGGGGAGCAUCGACGCCCGGACCAGAACUUUUGGGACGGAUCUGCGGUAGAGCACGUAUGUUGGGACCCGAAAGAUGGUGAACUAUGCCUGAAUAGGGUGAAGCCAGAGGAAACUCUGGUGGAGGCUCGUAGCGAUUCUGACGUGCAAAUCGAUCGUCAAAUUUGGGUAUAGGGGCGAAAGACUAAUCG